GGCGACCGCUUUUGGAGUUCGAUUAAGCCAUGCGAGUAGAAAGAAAUUAGAUUCUUUGCGAACUGCUCAGUAACACGUGGAUAACCUGCCCUAUGCUCUGGAAUAACCUUGGGAAACUGAGAAUAAUACCGGAUAGAUCACAACGCCUGGAACGGUGUGUGGUUGAAAGAUUACGGCAUAGGAUGGGUCUGCGGCGUAUCAGGUUGUAGGGGGUGUAACGGACCUCCUAGCCAUCGACGCGUACGGGUGUUGGGAGACAUAGCCCGGAGAUGGAUUCUGAGACACGAAUCCAGACCCUACGGGGUGCAGCAGGCGCGAAAACUUCACACUGCAGGAAACUGUGAUGAGGGAACUCCAAGUGCGUGCACUUAGUGUGCGCUUUUCUUGACUAUUAAUCGGUCAUGGAAUAAGGGCUGGGAAAGACCGGUGCCAGCCGCCGCGGUAAUACCGGCAGCUCAAGUGGUCGUCGCUUUUAUUGGGCCUAAAACGUCCGUAGCCUGUUUGGUAAAUCUGUGGGUAAAUCAACCAGCUUAACUGGUUGAAUUCUGCAGAGACUGCCAGACUAGGGACCGGGAGAGGUGUGGGGUACUCUAGGGGUAGGGGUAAAAUCCUGUCAUCCUUAGAGGACCACCAGUUGCGAAGGCGCCACACUGGAACGGAUUCGACGGUCAGGGACGAAGCCUAGGGGCACGGACCGGAUUAGAUACCCGGGUAGUCCUAGGUGUAAACGCUGUGAACUUGGUGUCGGGGAUCCGUCAUGGGUCCCCGGUGCCGGAGUGAAGAUGUUAAGUUCACUGCCUGGGGAGUACGGUCGCAAGGCUGAAACUUAAAGGAAUUGGCGGGGGAGCACUGCAACGGGAGGAGCGUGCGGUUU
rnacentral:rRNA from 1 species